UAACCCAGUACUGAGAUAUUCUUGGAAAUUAAAUGAGAAUCCAUAAAACAGCUGGCGUUUGGAUUCUGCGGCCGACCGGCUAUUUGGAGUGGAAUGCAGCCCACGGCAGACAGCCCAAACAGUAAUCGAACGCCUCCGAAGGAAACGGCCGCUGAACUGAGACACGCCUACUGAGCAGUAGAGUUUGUUUCUGUUAUUUCAUUGGACUAUUUAAUUAUCGCGGGAGCUGCCACUUUUUGCAGGUUAACGGUUACGGCUCAGUGCGCGCCAAGUCUGUCUCUCAAGUCUGCCUUCCACGGACCACGGAGCUGUGUGCACAUGAGCGGAGGAUCACAUCUGUAGCACUGGACGAUCAUGCUAUUCUUCAAGGCGAUUCAUGCUGAGUGUGGAUCGAAACAUAGUACAGGACAACAUCCCCUCCUUGGUUUCUGCCCUGUCCAUGAUGUUUGGGAGCUAUUAUUGCUUCAACAUCGCCUACCCGUCAGAGCUGGCAUCCACCCUGGAGUUUGUCCAGAGGUGUUUUUUCUCCAUCAACCCAGAGAAGGGCACCAAAGUGGAGAAGACACGUGCAUCCCGUCUUCAGGUGAACCCGAGAGUCCUCACCUUGAUACAGGAACUUUCGGACCAUGAGUGGCGUGAUGUCUGAAUAUGGACAGUAAGAUCAAUGGCAUGUGGCGAUGUGCCCAAGUUACAGUUUGUCUGAUUGUUUAAAUCGUAG